GUGAGAAUCUAGAAUUAAUAGUGGUAAUCUUCUUAACUAAAUAAAUCUUCUGAGCUAGACUCGCGGCAAGACGCACGCAAAUAUAAUCCUAAUCCCUAAAUCCCUUUCUUUAACUUUUCUUUUCAUUUUUUUUUCCCUUCUCUUCUCCGUCUUUCCCUUCCAACGUUACGGCUCGGUUUUGCAAUUAGCAACUCUCUCUGCUUUCAGUUUCAGCAUCCGCUUCCUCUACGCCGAUUACAAAAUGAACUCAGGCAGGCCAAAGAAGAUUCCUCUAGAAGGCUUGGUACUUGAAUCUAUUAUGUCUCCUCGUAGAUCUGCAUCUUUCCGGAGGCCAAAGGAUGAACUAGGCAGUUGGUCGACGCUUGUCAAGAGGCAUCGCUUCCUCUUGGUUGCCCUCGGUCUACUUGUUAUCCUCUGCACCGUUUAUCUUUACUUUGCUAUUACUUUAGGGGCAGGAGAUUCCUGUUCUGGAUUGAGUGGAGAUGCGAAAGUUACUUGCCAAAUGGAACAUGUUAAGGAUUUCAUGGCCAGGCGUAAACUCAAGCUUCUGUGAUAUUGCGGACACAGUUAUAAGGCAUUCUUUUUUGAUAUUGCAACACAAUUACAAGGCAUUCUUUUUCCUGUGACAGCAGGUAUAGAUGAACCGAAGAUUUGUAUACAUAUUGUUAUUUGUUAACCUCUGUUUGUGAAGCAAGAUGUACAAUACGUGUAGAAAGCAAUUUUUUUGGAUGCAAUUAUGUUAAUGUUGGUUGCUUAUUAUUAGUACAUAAAAUAUACAUUUUUAAGCAGUGUACUGUAGUAGCCAAAUGAAGUUGAGCCUACCCAAUGUUCAUGACUGGCUGAUUCUAAACCUGAUUUCUCAUUCUAUCUGAUAAGGUCGGUUCAUAUUUCAGUAAGAGCCUUUAUCAUGUAUCUAGUAUUGUUGAGGUGGAAAACUUUGUAUGAUUCUUUCAAUGCUGAUACUAAUCGAUUGCUACUUUUACUUUUUUA